AAUCCAUGCAUUGGGAAUUUACACUACAAAUCCUUGAAACAUUCUCAUGCUUCCUACAAGUUCUCAUCUUCUAACUGCUUAAAAGAUAUUAAGUCAUUCCUUAGAUU